GCCACCUUAGCUCAACGGUAGAGCACCGCUUUCGUAAAGCGGGGGUUUGGGGUUCAAAUCCCCAAGGUGGCUCCA
rnacentral:tRNA from 1 species